UCAAAUACGUUGAAAGAGCCCAGUAGCAGUUUGUCACUGUUAUCGAGAAAGCUAGGGGUUGCUGGAACCUAGCACAAACAAACUUGUGAAUUACACUCUGGAGUAUCUUAGGUAAUGCUAAGCGGAGUAGCAAUCGAUAUUUUUGCUAAGAGUGGUAUGAAUAGUAAAAUGAUUACUAUUUGUGCAAUUUGGGUGGUAACACGGUUAAAAAUCGUCCCUAUG
rnacentral:ncRNA from 1 species